UUUGACACAGAUUUUGUGUCGUUCAUUCAUGUAAAGGUAAGUUUGAUGUCUAAGAUUAAAGGUAGCGUUAAGUGGUUUAAUGAAUCCAAAGGAUUCGGUUUCAUUACUCCGGAAGAUGGCAGCAAGGACGUAUUCGUUCACUUUUCUGCUAUCCAGAGCAACGGUUUCAAAACCCUGGCUGAAGGUCAGCGCGUAGAGUUUGAAAUCACCAGUGGCGCUAAAGGACCUUCUGCUGCUAACGUUAUCGCUAUUUAAUUAUACCGAUUUCCUGAAAAACCCGCCUGAUGGCGGGUUUUUAUUU
rnacentral:sRNA from 1 species